rnacentral:rRNA from 1 species
GUCGAACGGUAACAGGAAGCAGCUUGCUGCUUCGCUGACGAGUGGCGGACGGGUGAGUAAUGUCUGGGAAACUGCCUGAUGGAGGGGGAUAACUACUGGAAACGGUGGCUAAUACCGCAUAACGUCGCAAGACCAAAGAGGGGGACCUUCGGGCCUCUUGCCAUCAGAUGUGCCCAGAUGGGAUUAGCUUGUUGGUGAGGUAACGGCUCACCAAGGCGACGAUCCCUAGCUGGUCUGAGAGGAUGACCAGCCACACUGGAACUGAGACACGGUCCAGACUCCUACGGGAGGCAGCAGUGGGGAAUAUUGCACAAUGGGCGCAAGCCUGAUGCAGCCAUGCCGCGUGUAUGAAGAAGGCCUUCGGGUUGUAAAGUACUUUCAGCGGGGAGG